GAGAACAAAUGCUUCGGACGGUCCACCACCGGCAAGUACCACAUCACCAGGGCAGGGACUCUACGCUGAGUCAUCGUGUCAGUACCUAUACAGGACUCGUCCUCCACUUGAGAACUAGCACUUUUCUUUGCACCCUUCUUCCUCUUAUUCCCGAUGGAGAAACCAGCAUGGUCCUGAUAGAAAUCGGCAUUACUUUUGUAACGACUAGCAUCGCAAUUUGGACACUUUUCCAAUGCAGCAUACUCGCCGCAGUACAUAUGCAAUGGUCCCUACAUGCAUGUAUUCUUUGCACAUGCAUCUUCAAUGGAUUGAUAAUCUUUUUUGCUUCGUAUGUGUUUUUGGCAAAAAGAUAGGCUUCGGGAGAAAAUUGCCUAGCAGAAUAAGGAGAUCAUUGAAACUAUUGUCUGACCAGCCAAAUUUAGCCUUUAGGAUCAGAAGUGAAGGACGAAACACAACACUAUCCACUCAUUCCCACAUCCCACAUACAUACGGUCCUUUGCUGCCUUCUUGAAUGUCUCGAAAUUCUCUAACCCUUUAGAACUCCCUAGCAACACUUCCGGUUCAAUGUAGCGCAACAUGUCUGUAACAUACCUGGUUUUAGUGAGACUUUAAAAAGGCUCAUUAGAAGUAAUUAAGACCUAAAACCAC
rnacentral:lncRNA from 1 species